GUAAAUAUUACAGGAAAGGAAGAGCGAACGAACAUUGCCGAAAAAUAACGUGGCUCGACUUGUUUGUGUCUCCCGGAAUUCCCGAGAGCGCUGCGUGGAUUCACUUCAUACUCGGGUAAGAACAUAGCCUCACUCUGAGGCACCGGCCAGGUGGUCCUUGACGCCAGGUAAGGGUCUGUGAGCGAGACUACACUCCUUCUUCUCCUGGAUGUCCGCGACCAUAUCCUCUGGAAGCUGUGGUCACUAGAACUCCGGCUUGGGAUCUGCAAGACAGAGGAAAAAACAAGGGGAUUGCAUUUGGAGUCAAUUAUCUUUUGUUAACAUGGAAACUAUCUACCUGCAGUGUUUCCCAAGUGACAGAAAAUGACCUGGAAUUAGGUGUAGUAAAUUUUUAAUUAAUAUUUCAAAGAAAAUUAUCAUCAAAAGUUGUAAGAUUCAAUCGUUCUCAAUUCUAAGUCAUUUGAAUGAAACUGCACAGAACAUAUUACAUUGAAACAUUCGUCUGACACCUAUUAAGGUAUAAUCCAAAAUGAUUCAUAAAAUUGACAGUAUUCAGAAUGAUAUUGAUCUCUGUGAUCUAACAUGAAUGUUGUUGCGAAACCUGUGCUUCCUGUCACAACUCAAAAGUUACUACUGUGAAAAUAGAUUCAUUUGCAGAUGAAUCAUGUCCGAGACACAUUAUUUGCUUUUGACAGCCAAUAACUUAAGGCUUGUAUAUUCCUUCCCUGACAUAGCAACAACUAAAUUAAAGGAAACUCUCAUCUGUGCUUGCAGAGAUCAUAAA